rnacentral:rRNA from 1 species
GACGAACGCUGGCGGCGUGCUUAACACAUGCAAGUCGAACGGAAAGGCCCUGCUUUUGUGGGGUGCUCGAGUGGCGAACGGGUGAGUAACACGUGAGUAACCUGCCCUUGACUUUGGGAUAACUUCAGGAAACUGGGGCUAAUACCGGAUAGGAGCUCCUGCUGCAUGGUGGGGGUUGGAAAGUUUCGGCGGUUGGGGAUGGACUCGCGGCUUAUCAGCUUGUUGGUGGGGUAGUGGCUUACCAAGGCUUUGACGGGUAGCCGGCCUGAGAGGGUGACCGGCGACAUGGGGACUGAGAGACGGCCCAGACUCCUACGGGAGGCAGCAGUGGGGAAUAUUGCACAAUGGGCGGAAGCCUGAUGCAGCAACGCCGCGUGCGGGAUGACGGCCUACGGGUUGUAAACCGCUUUCGCCUGUGACGAAGCGUGAGUGACGGUAAUGGGUAAAGAAGCACCGGCUAACUACGUG